rnacentral:rRNA from 1 species
CGUGCUUAACACAUGCAAGUCGAACGGAAAGGCCCUGCUUUUGUGGGGUGCUCGAGUGGCGAACGGGUGAGUAACACGUGAGUAACCUGCCCUUGACUUUGGGAUAACUUCAGGAAACUGGGGCUAAUACCGGAUAGGAGCUCCUGCUGCAUGGUGGGGGUUGGAAAGUUUCGGCGGUUGGGGAUGGACUCGCGGCUUAUCAGCUUGUUGGUGGGGUAGUGGCUUACCAAGGCUUUGACGGGUAGCCGGCCUGAGAGGGUGACCGGCCACAUUGGGACUGAGAUACGGCCCAGACUCCUACGGGAGGCAGCAGUGGGGAAUAUUGCACAAUGGGCGGAAGCCUGAUGCAGCAACGCCGCGUGCGGGAUGACGGCCUUCGGGUUGUAAACCGCUUUCGCCUGUGACGAAGCGUGAGUGACGGUAAUGGGUAAAGAAGCACCGGCUAACUACGUGCCAGCAGCCGCGGUGAUACGUAGGGUGCGAGCGUUGUCCGGAUUUAUUGGGCGUAAAGGGCUCGUAGGUGGUUGAUCGCGUCGGAAGUGUAAUCUUGGGGCUUAACCCUGAGCGUGCUUUCGAUACGGGUUGACUUGAGGAAGGUAGGGGAGAAUGGAAUUCCUGGUGGAGCGGUGGAAUGCGCAGAUAUCAGGAGGAACACCAGUGGCGAAGGCGGUUCUCUGGGCCUUUCCUGACGCUGAGGGGCGAAAGCGUGGGGAGCGAACAGGCUUAGAUACCCUGGUAGUCCACGCUGUAAACGGUGGGUACUAGGUGUGGGGUCCAUUCCACGGGUUCCGUGCCGUAGCUAACGCUUUAAGUACCCCGCCUGGGGAGUACGGCCGCAAGGCUAAAACUCAAAGGAAUUGACGGGGCCCCGCACAAGCGGCGGAGCAUGCGGAUUAAUUCGAUGCAACGCGUAGAACCUUACCUGGGUUUGACAUGGAUCGGGAGUGCUCAGAGAUGGGUGUGCCUCUUUUGGGGUCGGUUCACAGGUGGUGCAUGGCUGUCGUCAGCUCGUGUCGUGAGAUGUUGGGUUAAGUCCCGCAACGAGCGCAACCCUUGUUCACUGUUGCCAGCACGUUAUGGUGGGGACUCAGUGGAGACCGCCGGGGUCAACUCGGAGGAAGGUGGGGAUGACGUCAAGUCAUCAUGCCCCUUAUGUCCAGGGCUUCACGCAUGCUACAAUGGCUGGUACAGAGAGUGGCGAGCCUGUGAGGGUGAGCGAAUCUCGGAAAGCCGGUCUCAGUUCGGAUUGGGGUCUGCAACUCGACCUCAUGAAGUCGGAGUCGCUAGUAAUCGCAGAUCAGCAACGCUGCGGUGAAUACGUUCCCGGGGCUUGUACACACCGCCCGUCAAGUCAUGAAAGUUGGUAACACCCGAAGCCGGUGGCCUAACCGUUGUGGGGGAGCCGUCGAAGGUGGGACUGGUGAUUAGGACUAAAU